CCUCUCUCCUUCCUCUCUCUCUCUCUCUCUCUCUCUCUCUCUCUCUCUCUCUCUCUCCCUCCAUUCUUCUCCAUCCCCUAUUCUCUCUCUGUCUCCAGGGUGGAGGAGUUGAGUGAUCAUUUCUCAGAGAUGGAUCCGGUCAGACAGAGGUGGAUCUAUAUGUUCUUCAUGUACCCUUUCCUGUCUGGGGAGAGAGCAGGCUGUGUGAGACCAGGGGAGAACAGUGAGGACUGGCUGAUCAGAAACUUUGGCUCGUUUAAAGCCGUCGCUCGUAUGAGGGACUUCACAGCCCUCAACAUGGUCUUUAGUGGGCUGGAGGUGCUACACCUGUUAACUCUGGAGCAGAAGGCAGAGUUGUUGUUGCAUCCGGAGGUGGAGGGACUGGAGAAUGGAACCCUGAGUCUGGUGUUCCACACCCUGAUGACAGAGGUCCAUCCCCCCAUGGAGAACUCCACCUGGACCACACCAGGGUACCCCAACCCCAUCUACCCCCCAUCCUACACCCCCGCGUACCCACCCAGACCCACGUCGGAUGAACAAUACCCACCCCGACCCCCCUCACCCCAGGAGAGCCUUCGAGAGGUGGUGAACGGGUUCAUGGGGGUCUUCAGGCCUUUCGGAAGCUUCGUCAGGGAGUUUGUGUCGCUCACGCACAAAGUAACCACACAUACACACACACACAUAUACACACACACACAUUUUCUAUCUAGGAUAGAACAGGAACUACUUCAAGUCUACCUUCUAUUGAGGUCCUGUCUUUACCAUUCCUCACUACCUUCUAUUGAGGUCCUGUCUUUACCAUUCCUCACUACCUUCUAUUGA
rnacentral:lncRNA from 8 species